rnacentral:rRNA from 1 species
ACUGCUCAGUAACACGUGGAUAACCUGCCCUAAGGAAGGGGAUAACCUCGGGAAACUGAGGAUAAUACCCUAUAGGUUACAGACGCUGGAAUGCCCUGUAACCGAAAGUUCCGGCGCCUUAGGAUGGAUCUGCGGCCGAUUAGGUUGUUGUUGGGGUAACGGCCCAACAAGCCGAUAAUCGGUACGGGUUGUGGGAGCAAGAGCCCGGAGUUGGAUUCUGAGACAUGAAUCCAGGCCCUACGGGGCGCAGCAGGCGCGAAAACUUUACAAUGCGGGAAACCGUGAUAAGGGAACCCCGAGUGCCUGUAUAUGCAGGCUGUCCAGGUGUCUAAAAAACACCUGAAGAAAGGGCCGGGCAAGACCGGUGCCAGCCGCCGCGGUAAUACCGGCGGCUCGAGUGGUGGCCACUUUUAUUGGGCUUAAAGCGUUCGUAGCUGGGUUGUUAAGUCUCUUGGGAAAUCUGACGGCUCAACCGUCAGGCGUCCAAGGGAUACUGGCAAUCUUGGAACCGGGAGAGGUGAGGGGUACUUCGGGGGUAGGAGUGAAAUCCUGUAAUCCUCGAGGGACCACCUGUGGCGAAGGCGCCUCACCAGAACGGCUUCGACAGUGAGGGACGAAAGCUGGGGGAGCAAACCGGAUUAGAUACCCGGGUAGUCCCAGCCGUAAACGAUGCGCGUUAGGUGUAUCGGUGACCACGAGUCACCGAGGUGCCGAAGGGAAACCGUGAAACGUGCUGCCUGGGAAGUACGGUCGCAAGGCUGAAACUUAAAGGAAUUGGCGGGGGAGCAC